ACGAAAUUUGAUCAAAUUCUGAUUACUUUGAUUUCGUGAUUCACCUUUCUUAAAAGAAAAGAACGAAAAGAAAAAAAAACAUCGAACAGUAAAUAAAAUCCACAUUUUAACGUCUAAAUCCCAGAACUACGGAUCCAGGCCGAUCGUUUCCCUGCAACAUUUUGCAAGCAGCCAACAUACCUCCAAAUUUUCACACCUUGCAAGACCACGAACAUUGCUUGACCGAAUAGAAUUCGGUCUCGUUGGGAGGACAGUUGUGAAAAUGUGGCAAUAUUUUAAUUCCAGUACGCAAUCAUUGGAUCUCAAGACGAAAAUAUUUUGCUGUUUCUAUCGAACUGGAUAUUCUGAUAAAAGAAGAUGAAACUGGAUGAUGGGUUCGAUCGAAAUUCCAAUUGAAAGUGGAGAGUACGAGCUUCAUUUUGAAACUCAAAAGAAGCUUCCUUCGCAUCCGGUGUGUGUUUUCGAGGAAAGAAAAUCGGCCAAAAAUUGUGGGCCUCCUGAAGAAAUAGGUCAAGGUCAGGUAUGAGUUCGCUUAACACGAGAUGACUCAUGCAUACGAAUAAACACCACGCGUCAACAGUAUCGAGUUUACUUGCUGCAGCGAUACACCUUCGAAAAUUAUGCAACGAUAACUAAACGUGAAAAGGAGCACAGUGACGAAGAAUCGGUGAGUGUAAUAUUCCGGGUAUUCGCUCCACACUCGAUUCAACGACUUUCGUAAACAUAGUUUCGUGUAUCCGUUGACCGGAUUCGAUAAGUUCGUGUGUACGGGCGUCAAACGGUCCAGCCGGAUGUAUCGGUCCCCGUGUCAAAAUCUCUAUUCGUAUCUCUGUUUUAUUAACGAGGAAAAAGUCAAGCCUCGUGGCUGAGGGAGAUUCUGGUUCGAGUGCAAACUUUACAUAGUCGUCGAAUGAAUACUGAUUCGCGAUGAUGAUAAACUUUUUUUUGUUUGUCGAACGCACUGUGUUUUUUAUCCUGCACAUUUGUGAAUUUUGUUUUUUUAUUUUCUGGUUGUCUCUUACGUUGGAAUGGAAUUUUGCUGAGACGAGGAAUACGAUUUUUCAGGCAGCAUUUACAAUGGUAUUUCCAGUUGAAAACUCUUGAAAUGUAAUUCAGAACAAUCGCAUUUACAACGAGAAAGUAUUCCAAUGCGGCGAUCGUUUCGUUUGUUUUGUUAACAAUACUUUCUCGACUAUUUUCUGGCGAACGUUUGUUAUAUUCAUGAAAAUGUUGGUGUUUAGAUUAAUAAAUUACUGUGCGAUCUAA